UACGGAGGAUCCAAGCGUUAUCCGGAAUUACUGGGCGUAAAGAGUUGCGUAGGUGGUUUAUUAAGCAAGGCAUGAAAUCGUGUGGCUCAACCAUGCGGCUAUGUUUUGAACUGGUAGACUAGAGGAUGAGAGAGGUUAUUGGAAUUCCCAGUGUAGGAGUGAAAUCCGUAGAUAUUGGGAGGAACACCGAUGGCGUAGGCAGAUAACUGGCUCAUUCCUGACACUAAGGCACGAAAGCGUGGGUAGCAAACGGG
rnacentral:rRNA from 1 species